rnacentral:lncRNA from 1 species
UUCCUGAAGAGUGCGUUGAAGCAACAAAGGAAUACAUCCAUGGCGAACAAUAUAGAUCAGACUCCAAAACAGUUAACCAACAAGCUUACUUUUAUGCCAGAGACCUCGAAGUCCAUCCCAAGGACACAUUUGUGUUCAGUAUAGAUGGCACCGUACUCUCUAAUAUUCCAUACUACAAAAAACAUGGAUAUGGGUAUUAUGCUCUUAGUUAAUUUUCUUCUAAUACUCUCUUUUUCCGUUUUUGCUAUUACUAGGUUACUCCCUUAUAUGCGCAUCAUUUAUUUUCAACUAUUUUUGGUAUUGAUCGAGUUUCGGUGUUUGGCCCGACUAACAACAUUAAGGUUUCUCAUCACAUGCAUGUAGAUUUGAAACCUUCAUUAUAUAUGACAUUUUAUGAUUAGAUAUAAUAUAAAGAAAAAGUUUCAUUGUGAGUGCAUAAAUAUAUAUAUAUACAGACACAGGCACAUACAUGCUUUCAGGAUCGUGUUCAUUGUUCUUAAUGCAAUAUUUUAUGUGAUAGGGUGGAGAAAUUUAACUCGACCUUGUAUGAUGAAUGGGUUAACAAGGGCAAUGCACCGGCACUGCCCGAGACUCUUAAGAAUUACAACAAGCUGGUGUCUCUUGGCUUCAAGAUUAUAUUCUUGUCAGGAAGAACACUGGACAAACAGGCCGUAACAGAAGCAAA